UAUAUAUAUAUUUCCCACCUGCUUUUCUCCAAAAAACAAACAAACAAACAAACAAAAAAAAGAUCAAAUAAACUAAUUUUUACAAGUGAUUUUAUUUGGUACUCCUAAUUAUGAUGGUUAUAAGCUACAUAAUAUUACACAUAAUGUAUAAACCAGGAAAAAUUUGAGCUUGAAAAAAUACCUGCCUGGAGUAUCAGAUUCUUGAACCUUCACUUGUAACCGACCCAAAAAAGAAGAGGAAGAAGAAAAAACAAAAGCAAAAAACAUGCACACAGGAAUGCAAUCAGUCAGGAACUGAAUCACUUAUCCGUUUUCUUCACUUGUCACUUGUCCCUUGUCUUUCUCGUUACAUUUAUAGUCAUCCUCUUCUCAAAACACUAAUCAUUUUUUAUUAGGUAUUAAGCAGUAUGAAAACUUAGUAGAAAGAAUACUUGCAAGUGUAUUAUUCCAAUCUGGCAUGUGUUCUGUAGGUGGAUCAUUUCAGAAGGAAACAAAAACUCUUCUUCAGACAGAUUACUUGAGAGUUCAGGACAUCAUAUAUUUUUUGUUUUAUUUUAUUAUUUUUCCAGAAGCAAGAGAAAUCCAUGAUGACUGUAUAAAAAAAAGAAAAUCCACAUUCUGAAGAAAUAAGCUGAAGUGAAUUUGACGUACCUUGAAUGUGAAACAUGGCCAGUGACGUUUCAGGGAAAAUAUUAAAAUACCUAUUAGGAAUCAUCGCGGCUAUCCUGCUGACCAAUGUGUUUGUUGUGGAAAUUAUAGAUUUUUCAGGAAUAAGCAUGGAUUUACAGUUUAGCUUCACAGAUGGGUCAGCGCAUCAUAUUAGACGAAGAAGUGCAGAAAUUACACAAUGUCUCAACUCAUCUUUGGGGUGUGAGCUGAAUGCUAACUGUUCCAAUUACAGUGGAAACUAUUCGUGCUUUUGUUGGGAAGGAUAUAACGCUACAAAGAUGAAUGAGACUAUUAAUAGCAGUAACCCAUGCAUAGAUAUAAAUGAAUGUCAAUUCAGUCCAUCUGUAUGUGGUCCAAAUGCCAACUGCACAAAUGAAAUGGGAAGUUACAAUUGCUCAUGUCUGGAUGGAUUCACUGCAACAAACUCAAAUAUCUCUAUCAGCAUCAGUAACACAUGUAUAGGUACAUUCUAUAUUCAGAUAUUUGUAAAAACUUGAAAGUUUUGCUCAUGUCUGUUACUGUAAAUUCAGGAACAGAAAGCAUAAAGCAUAUAUAUAUAUAUAUAUAUACAGGUGCAUCUCAAUAAAUUUGAAUGUCGUGGAAAAGUUAAUUUAUUU
ensembl:lncRNA